UCAAGCGUUUAAGGGCGUGUAGUGGAUGCCUUGGCACUGAAAGCCGAUGAAGGACGUGAUAUACUGCGAUAAGUUUCGGGGAGCUGUAUGUAAGCUUUGAUCCGAAAAUUUCCGAAUGGGGAAACCCACCACUUUAUGUGGUACUUUAAACUGAAUACAUAGGUUUAAAGAGACAACCUGGAGAACUGAAACAUCUAAGUAACCAGAGGAAAAGAAAUCAAUUGAGAUUCCGUUAGUAGUGGCGAGCGAACGCGGACUAGGCCAGUAGUUUUGUUAAAAAAAUUUGAAUAGUUUGGAAAUGCUAACCAUAGAGGGUGAUAGUCCCGUAUGAGUAAUGUUUAACAAAAUUCUUGAGUAAAGCGGGACACGAGAAAUCCUGCUCGAAUAUAGGGGGACCACCCUCUAAGCCUAAAUACUCUUCAGUGACCGAUAGUGAACUAGUACCGUGAGGGAAAGGUGAAAAGAACCCCUAUUAGGGGAGUGAAAUAGAACCUGAAACUGCAUGCCUACAAUCAGUCCGAGCCCUUUUUAGGGUGAGGGCGUACCUUUUGUAUAAUGGGUCAGUGACUUAAUUUAUUAAGCAAGCUUAAGCCAUCUAGGUGUAGGCGCAGCGAAAGCAAGUCUUAAUAGGGCGAUUAGUUUAAUGAAUUAGACCCGAAAACGAAUGAGCUUACCAUGAGCAGGUUGAAAGUUGGGUAACACCAACCGGAGGACCGAACCAGUUGACGUUGAAAAGUCUUUGGAUGACUUGUGGUAAGGGGUGAAAGGCCAACCAAAUUCGUAGAUAGCUGGUUUUCCGCGAAAACUAUUUAGGUAGUGCGUUGAAUAAAUAGAUGUUUAGAGGUAGAGCACUAAAUGGGCUAGGGGGAAGAGAUUCUUACCAAACCUAAUAAAACUCCGAAUGCUAGACAUUGUUCUUCAACAGACAGACUGUGGGUGCUAAGGUCCAUGGUCGAGAGGGAAAGAGCCCAGACCACCAGAUAAGGUCCCAAAAUCAUGAUUAAGUGUGAAAGGAUGUGGAAAUUCCAUAACAGCCGGGAGGUUGGCUUAGAAGCAGCCAUCCUUUAAAGAUAGCGUAACAGCUCACCGGUCUAAUAGAGUUUCUGCGCCGAAGAUGUAACGGGGCUAAAAUCAUGUACCGAAUCUGUGGCUUUGCAAAGUUUUCGAACUUUGUAAGGGGUAGCGGAACGUUCUGUAAGCCUGCGAAGGGAUACCCGUGAGGGAUCCUGGAGGUAUCAGAAGUGCGAAUGCUGACAUAAGUAACGAUAAAAGAAGUGAAAAACUUCUUCGCCGAAAAUCCAAGGGUUUCUGCGCAAGGUUAAUCCGCGCAGAGUUAGUCGGCACCUAAGGCGAGGGCGAAAGCCGUAGUCGAUGGAAACAAGGUUAAUAUUCCUUGACCUGAUGGUAGUGACGGAUUUCGUAAGUUGUGAGUUCUUAAUGGAUUGAACUUGCCGCGAAGAGGUCCCAAGAAAUAGCUCCAUCAUGAAGACCGUACCCGAAACCGACACAGGUAGAUUAAUAGAGUAUAUUUAGGCGCUUGAGAGAAUGAUGUUGAAGGAACUCGGCAAAAUGCUUCCGUAACUUCGGGAUAAGGAAGACCCUUUUGUAGGCAACUAUGGAAGGGUGGCACAAGCCAGGGAGAAGCGACUGUUUAUCAAAAACACAGGGCUCUGCUAACACGUAAGUGGAUGUAUAGGGUCUGACGCCUGCCCGGUGCUGGAAGGUUAAUGCGGUUGGUGCAAGCUAACUUCUGAAGCCCCAGUAAACGGCGGCCGUAACUAUAACGGUCCUAAGGUAGCGAAAUUCCUUGUCGGGU
rnacentral:rRNA from 1 species